UACUUCGUUUAAUCGCUUCCAUUUCUCCACCUACAAAGAUUAGUUUUUUUCCUUUAAGACCUUCUUCCGGAUUCCUGUAAUUGGAUCUUUUUGAGGAUUGCUAGGGUAAUUUGUUUUCCAGAUGGUAAUCCAGUGAACGGACCGUUGACCCUACAUCGGGAUGGUGUGAAGUAUCAUUCAAGUACAAUUUGAACUAUUCCUCCGUAUGUUUGACACACUUCGGUCGAGAUUUCCUGGUCUUAUUCUUCCUAUCCUACUUUCAAACAAACAGCUACGAACUACUCCGUUGUUGUUGUUGUUGACGUUCCGGAUUCAAGUUCUGAUACGUAUUACAACAGGUAUAGUUACUUUUCACCAAAUUGUACUGUUUCUUCUUAUUUUGUAUAAUAGAAUACCUACCCUCCUUCUCGGAUGCUCCGGGUAUGUACCGUUGACAUAACCGUUCCACUACAAGAACUGCCAGCAACGAUCCGGCUCCACCCUGUCACUUCCUUUGCACUGGAAGAGACCCUUUUAGCCAUAGACCGGUAAGCACUUCCUUCAAGGACGAGUUUCCUCUUCGCUGUUGUCCGGGUUUCCAUGUUAUCUCUGUUUUAGUUAUUUCCAGCUGUCUUUUCACUACUCCCUCAAGGACUAACUCUUCAAAAACGGCCGUUAUGUUCGACAAACCGGGCUUCCACUACGACCUGUCUGGUAGAUGUAAGUCGUCCUAUUACGAUUAGGGGUAUAGAACGGUCUACUGAGCCUUAAAGAUCUUCGACAGCGUUUUUGACCUGAACUGUAGUCUUAUUAUGUUGUUGGAGGGUUGUCAGGAUUAAACUUACACGAACUGGAACCCAAAAAGUUGAGCGAGGUUAGGGACUGUCUAACAGACUCAGGAUUUUGUGAUGUUCUGGAAUAAUUCCCACAAAACCUCCUUAAACUUCCGAUACUGCAAAUGUUCGAGUUGUCUUAAAAUGAUUGAGACGUCUGCACGUACCAACUCUAGGACUUGGUACGUCCCCCGUUACCCAUAUUUUAUGGGGCACAUUUGUUCCUUUCCGAACUCCCCGAACCCGUUGAUGGAGGUUCUAAUAGUACGGGAUGUCUCCACAUACGUUUACGGGACGUGUUGAAUCCCGAUUACCUCUCCCAAGUAAUU
rnacentral:rRNA from 1 species